UACGAAGGGUGCAAGCGUUAAUCGGAAUUACUGGGCGUAAAGGGUGCGUAGGCGGUUGUUUAAGUCUGUCGUGAAAUCCCCGGGCUCAACCUGGGAAUGGCGAUGGAUACUGGACAGCUAGAGUGUGUCAGAGGAUGGUGGAAUUCCCGGUGUAGCGGUGAAAUGCGUAGAGAUCGGGAGGAACAUCAGUGGCGAAGGCGGCCCUCUGGGACAACACUGACGCUGAAGCACGAAAGCGUGGGGAGCAAACAGG
rnacentral:rRNA from 1 species